GACAGAGGGUGCAAACGUUGUUCGGAAUUACUGGGCGUAAAGCGCGUGUAGGCGGCCCGGCACGUCCGUCGCUGAAAUCCCCCGGCUCAACCGGGGAAGUGGCGUGGAUACGGCCGGGCUGGAGGGGGGUAGGGGGAGCGGAACUUCCGGUGGAGCGGUGAAAUGCGUUGAGAUCGGAAGGAACGCCCGUGGCGAAAGCGGGCUCCUGGAC
rnacentral:rRNA from 1 species